GCCUGUGUAGCUCAACCGCAUAGAGUAUAAGACUCUUAAUCUUGGGGUUGCGGGUUCGAAUUCUGCCGCUGGCU
rnacentral:tRNA from 2 species